UACACAACAUACUAUCAAUUGAACCCUUGCCAUUUCUAUGCGCCGUUUUUUGCGUUCUUCUCUUUUCCCCUCUCCAGCAUAUCGAGCAUUGAUUCAAGACUAUUUCUUUAGGGGACGCGCCGAUCUAGAAUGCCACCUCCUCUUAGCUUGCGGCCGCCACUUCCAUUCUCUCAUAAACUGAGCUACAACCACCAAAUCGCUUGCACAACCGCACUACUCUCGCCGGGACAAACACCACCGUCGUUCACGCAUCUGCCUCUUUUACUUGAUGCACGCUACAUGUUGCUAAUUUGCUAUGCGAUUGGCAAAUCUUAAAACCCGACCAAUCCACAUCGAGCUCAAGGUCUUAAUGAAGGUAAUAUUUCUCUCUUCCAUUUCACUUACAGUUGAUCUACUAAUCUAUGGCAUUUUCACAUUUCUGAUAUAAUAAGUGGUUGUGUGUGUUUCAAUUUAAGGAUCUCAGGCUAGAACCCACUCAGGCCUUCACGAAUCACGAUGAUGAUCAGACUAAGGAGCCCAAGAUGUUGUUUGCUCUGAUCCACUUCAGAAGAUGCCUACUAAGAUCCGACGCUUCUUUUGAGACUCCCUUCUAAGG